UAAUACACCUGAUGUGUUUCGGGACAGUCUCCCUUAAUCAUAGGUUUAGAUAUACCUAUGAUUAAGGGAGACUAUCCCGAAACGCGUUAGGUGUAUUACAG
rnacentral:pre_miRNA from 1 species